GGUGCUGCUGCUGGCUGACAUGGAUUAACAGAUGGACGAGCUGCAGACGGACUAGCUUGACGAGAUGCUGGACGACGUAGAUGAGACGAUGCAUACGACGCUGUACAAGGAGCUGCUGUUUGCUGUAGUGUAUUUUCAGGUACUGGUGCAUUAGACGAGCGGAAAUCUGG